GAAGCAUGGUUGAAAGUCACAAUAGAGGAAAAUGAGAGAAUCUGAUUAGUCAAAUGUGCCUUUGGAAGAUAAAUGACGGUCAUUGAUCGUGUUAGGAGAUUCGAUUUCCGAGUGAUCCCCAAUGCUCAGAAGUGCGGCACAGAACGAACUCCAUUCCACAUCACAUCGCAGGCCAGCGGCUGAUCAGCUUUCAAACAAAAACAAACAAGGCUAAUCAGAAUAACUGCUGAAAAGGUGACUCAAAUUGCAUCCUGCUUGAGCCAAAGAUUAUCUCUGUGUUCACUGAAGGUCUGUUUUGAGUUGGGAACUACCCACAUGAGGAGUGCCAAGCAUACAGAAUGUCUGCCUACCAACACCCUAAGAAGGAUCCUGCAAAGAUAGUUUCACCAUUCCCCAGCAACCAUAUCAGGAAAAUUUCAAUUCUAAUAAAGAGAGAAGAAAACUGUCCCCCAGAAUGGAAUAUGUCGAAUGGGAGUGACCUUUGUCCUUCAAAGUCAAGGAAUUGUCUUCUCGGAAGUAGAAAUACCUCUGGAAGAGUUGUCUAUGAGACCCUUGGAAUUGACCCAGAAUCCUGCUGCCACAGGACCUCACAGAAUCUCCUUGAUGCGUCUUUUCUGAUAGGUGAAGGGAAAGCAACUGAAAAUAUGGCUUAACUGCCCUGGGAGGUUGUAGCUGUUGUCUUUUUUAACUACUGUCAGGUUAGGACCUUGAAUUACCUACUAAUGAAACUAAUAAGGCAUAAAAGUGAGAAGAUGUUUUUCCUUGGCCGAGUUACAAUAACUUAACUCAAGAGUUU
rnacentral:lncRNA from 1 species